ensembl:lncRNA
UCCAUCCAUCUCUGUGCAGGGCCCUAGUCUACCUGCCGGGUCUCCAGGGUCUCUUUAUUCAAGCUCAAGCUUGGGCUCCUCGCCAAACCUGACACAGCAGGAAGGUGGAGCUCUCAGCCUACUAUAGAGUGAGAAAGGAGCAUUGCCCGAAGCUAUCCUGGACUAUGUGGCUACCCAGCCAGAUCACAAGACCCUGGUUCAUAAGGAGAAAAGUGUGAAGGAUGGGGAUUUGGAAGGUCUCUCUUGAACGCGAACAGGCUGAGGGCUACUGCAGAGCACUGUUAAGAGGAGGCCUCUCUGACAAAGUCCAUCAGACAAAGACAUUCCAUCAGGAUGGCAGACAGGCCCAUCAGAACAGUGACUGACAAUCGAGAGGUGUUGAACAGCAACUCAGAGCUAAUCCAAGAGGUAGA